UACGUAGGGUGCGAGCGUUAAUCGGAAUUACUGGGCGUAAAGCGUGCGCAGGCGGCUUCGCAAGUCAGGCGUGAAAUCCCCGGGCUUAACCUGGGAAUGGCGUCUGAAACUACGGAGCUGGAGUGUGGCAGAGGGAGGUAGAAUUCCACGUGUAGCGGUGAAAUGCGUAGAUAUGUGGAGGAAUACCGAUGGCGAAGGCAGGCCUCCUGGGCCGAACACUGACGCUCAUGCACGAAAGCGUGGGGAGCAAACAGG
rnacentral:rRNA from 1 species